UGUUUCAGUGCUGGUAUCUCCGCCCUGUACACAGUGUCCUCUCUAUCAUGUUUCAGUGCUGGUAUCUCCGCCCUGUACACGGUGUCUUACCUGUGGUAUUCCACUAUUGGUGCAGUCACAGCGGUUGUUGUCGGUCUGAUUGUCAGCGCUAUGACAGGCAUGAACCGCCUGGGUGAUGUGGACCCAAGGUUUCUCGUUCCCGUGCUGUACAGCCGCUGUCCCCCACGACCCGUCAGAGCCAACCUCCGCCGUAGCCAGGAGAGCAGAGAGCAAGAGGAACUGGUCCAGAUAACGAGGCGGUCCGAACACCAGGAAAUAUGACCAACAAGAGAAGAUGUGACGUCAGUCUUAUCUUCCAUAUGAACAUGGCAUGAUUCUCUAAGGAAAAUUGAUGGUCCCAAAUAUUACCAUACUCACAUCUAUACAGUAGACAUUUAAACUUGUAGGCAAAAUGUAACCAUACUCACAUUUAUACAGUAGACAUUGAACGUUGUAGGCCCAAUAAAACCAUACUCACAUUUAUACAGUAGACAUUGAACAUUGAUAGUCCAAAAUAUAACCAUACUCAGAUUCAUACAGUAGACAUUGAACAUUGAUAGGCGUUAUCAAAUGAUGAUUUCCCACAUGAAUGAAGCGCUCGUAAAGACAUUGUGAUGGGCAGAUGCUGUCCUUCGAUGUGAGACUCCACAUCAUAAUUAUCACACAAGUCAAAUAUAUCUAUGGUGCUAAUAAUGUAAUCAAUAACACUUGCCCCAGCAUUGCCAACACAUGUUACCUUCCCGGGAUCACUUCCACAGCCGCCAUUCAAAAUGU
rnacentral:misc_RNA from 1 species